rnacentral:lncRNA from 1 species
CAGGAACUGUAUGCUGUUGUCCCGGUUCUGACACUUUCCCUCUGAGUCCUUGGACACCUUACCUAACCUCUUGGAAGCUCCUGUCUGUGAAGGGUGUGCACAGAGAGCUUCGGUAGCCUGCGAAGCAGCCAUUUUCACUUCCACGGAGCAGAUGCUGGCCUGGGUGCUGGAAUAUGGAAAUGAGGAAGAUCCUGCCUGAGGAUUUCAUGACAGUGCUGCGAUUACCGACGUGAGCCACUGUGCCCAGCCUCACUUUAAAAAAAAAAAAAGGUUAUGAAGCAUCUCAACACAAGACCUCCUUUGCUCAUCACAACCACCCAGUGAAGCAGGCAAGACAACAGAAACUCCCCACCUGUGAUAGAUGUGAGGCCUGAAGUCUCCCACAUACCCACGGCAGAUGCAACGCACAGCGGUGACCAAUGGUGAAGGAUCUAAAACCUGAAAAGAGGCCAAAUGAUUCCUCAAAACCACGCAAGUACGAAGUAGCAGAGCGGAUCUCAAAUCCAGAGCACUGCGUGUUUUGAAAUAUACAAAUAGUGGGAAACGAAAUCUUUGUUCUGGAUGCAGUUAUAAUUUGGAAAGCGAGGAAAUAAAUUAUAACAAGGGGAAAAAACAGAAUACUACUAAAGUCAUGCCGUGUGACUUCUGAAGCUAGCUCCUAAGAAGUCCUUGCAGCUUCUGCCUGCGACUCUUAGAACACUUGCUUUGAAGGAUGCCAGAUGCUGUCUUAAAAGUCUGAGCACUCUGAAACCAUCAUGCUGUGAGGAAGCCCAAGCUAACCACAUGGGCAAAAAAGAUGCCCUCUGACUGCCACCAUUUGAGACACUCUAAUUAAGAACUGCCUCAUUGAGCCCAUGAGGCCCUGUGAAUGAUAAUAAUAAAUUGUUUUUAACCACUAUGUUUUUGGAUUUGUUAUAAGUUUAUAGAUAACAAGAAAAAGUUAUAUUAGCAUGGUAAUAAAAUUAUGGAUAUGUGUAA